rnacentral:lncRNA from 1 species
UUGUUCGGGUAAGGAGUUAGCUUUUGGACCGACGGGAGGACGUAUUAGUUAGACUGUAGUAGCGAUCGUCACCCUCGUUAUGUUUUAUUUUCGCUUCUAGUAGUUUUAAUAAUUAAAUGGUUCAAUUAGAUGAUCAAUAUGAAUGUUUGAAUGUUCGUGAACUGGUUUGAGUUGAUGUUUUUCUAUUAUACAUACGAUGGGAGAUUUAUGAAUGUAUGGUUUUGGAUUUACGUAUUUAUGUAUCGUGGUUUUCUACCCCUCGAGAUAGUUGGUUUUCAAAAUGGAGUUUUCGAGUGGGAAAUAGUUUUAAAAGGUUUUCAAAUAUUUUUAUGGAGGAUUCUAUAGAGUUUAAAAAUAAAGCUUCCGGAUGAGGAGCACUUUUAAAUAGGAUGACUGUUGUACUGUGCAUCGCAUCAUCCAGCGCCUAAGGAGUGCUUAGAGACAUGCAUUAUCUCUAAGGAUCGCUAGCUGUAUGAAAAUGUAUCGCACGAAUUGUUUGUCUAUUGGUGAAUGUAAGUUGUUGUUGUGAUCCUGAUAUUGUUGUUGGUACGCCGUGCAAAUACAAAGGAGACUCUGUCCGU